GACGUAGGGCGCGAGCGUUGUCCGGAUUUAUUGGGCGUAAAGAGCUCGUAGGCGGCUUGUUGCGUCAGCUGUGAAAACCCGCAGCUCAACUGUGGGCUUGCAGCUGAUACGGGCAGGCUUGAGUUCGGUAGGGGAGACUGGAAUUCCUGGUGUAGCGGUGAAAUGCGCAGAUAUCAGGAGGAACACCGGUGGCGAAGGCGGGCCUCUGGGCCGAUACUGACGCUGAGGAGCGAAAGCGUGGGGAGCGAACAGG
rnacentral:rRNA from 1 species